GAUUUCUGGCCUGAAAUACUUAGCCGGCCGCGGUUUCGCGUGUUAGUGCUUUGUGUUCUGGCCAUCCUUCCAAUGGCUGCUCUCCUCUCUUCAUUGAGGGGGGAGUGGUAUUGGAUCUUUUACUUUGAAAAAAUUAGAGUGUUUCAAGCAGGCUUUAUGCUAUGAAUACAUUAGCAUGGAAUAAUAAUUUAGGACUUCGGUUCUAUUUUGUUGGUUUCUAGGACUGAAGUAAUGAUUGAUAGGGAUAGUUGGGGGUGCUAGUAUUCAGCGGCCAGAGGUGAAAUUCUCGGAUUCGCUGAAGACUAACUUAUGCGAAAGCAUU
rnacentral:rRNA from 1 species